CUGACCUAAAUAAAUUCGCGUCCUACAAAUUUAUUUUUAAUCUGCUUUGCACGCCCAGCAUUCUAUAACACAACAAUGCAACAUGAUUGAGAAUCAAUCCUUUUAUGGAACUCCAUCCAUGCAUUUUAUAGAUUUGUAAUUGUCGCUGCUUGGCAUUCGAGACACGCGAGUGAUCUGUAUAUGCGAAGAGAAUGACGUAGUUUUGUGAUAUUGCUUUUAAUAAUUUAAUCGAUUUCUUUCGUGCAUAACAAUUAAUUCCUGUCGGAAAGCAACUCUGCAAGAAUUUACGUCAUCCUUGAUUGUGUUAUCGGCGCGUGAGAUUGGGGAUGAAGGAGUUAAAAAACACAUUCUGGAGAUCGCACGUACACGACCUUGUCUCGCUAAAAGUGAUCGAGGCGCGCUCAAUUAAAUUCCGAAAUAUUAGAAUUAAUUGAUUGGAGAUAACACAUUUUCUUGCGUGCUGAAUACGAGAUUAGAAGUCAUAAUGAUAAAGGGGAAGCAUAUGUAAGGGGAAAAUUGUUUUGCUCGUUUUCACGCUUCGCGCAUUUAAAGGCCAACAUAAAACGAAUAGAGUGAAGAACCGAUGAAGAACCUUUGCGAUAGUUUCGUCAAUGCAACAUGACGUAAUCGUUCGACAAAUUCUAGCUAGAAAGAGAAAAAGAGAGGGACAAGUGA